rnacentral:lncRNA from 1 species
AUGGAUGAUGCCCCAGGCAUGGAUGAUGCCACAACAGUGGAUGAUGUCCCAGCAGUGGAUGAUGCCCCAGGCACGGAUGAUGUCCCAGCAGUGGAUGAUGCCCCAUGCGUGGAUGAUGCCCCAGGCAUAAAUGAUGUCCCAAUAGUGGAUGAUUUCCUAGGCGUAAAUGUCUCAGCAGUGGAUGAUGUCCCAGCAGUGGAUGAUGUUCCAGGCAUGGAUGAUGUCCCAGCAGUGGAUGAUGCCACAGCAGUGGAUGAUGUCCCACCAGUGGAUGAUGCCCCAGGUGUGGAUGAUGCCCCAGGCAUGGAUGUCCCAGCAGUGGAUGAUGUCCCAGCAGUGGAUGAUGUCCCAGCAGUCGAUGAUGUUCCAGCAGUGGAUGAUGCCGCAGGUGUGGAUGAUGCUCCAGGCGUGGAUGAUGCCACAGCAGUGGAUGAUGCCCCAGGAAUGGAUAAUGCCCAAGCAGUAAAUGAUACCCCAGGCGUGGAUGAUAUCCCAGCAGUCGAUGAUGCCCCAGGCAUGGAUGAUGUCCCAGCAGUGGAUGAUGUCCCAGCAGUGGAUGAUGCCCCAGGCCUGGAUGAUGCUCUAGGUGUGGAUGAUGCCCCAGGCGUGGAUGAUGUCCCAGGCAUAAAUGAUGUCCCAGCAGUGGAUGAUGCCCCAGGCAUGGAUGAUGUCCCAGCAGUAAAUGAUGUCCCAGCAGUGGAUGAUGCCCCAGGCGUGGAUGAUGCCCCAGGUGUGGAUGAUGCCACAGCAGUGGAUGAUGCCCCAGGUGUGGAUGAUGCCCCGGGUGUGGAUGUCCCAGCAGUGGAUGUCGUCCCAGCAGUGGAUGACGUCCCAGCAGUGGAUGACGUCCCAGCAGUGGAUGACGUUCCAGGCAUGGAUGAUGCCACAGCAGUGGAUGAUGCCCCAGGUGUGGAUGAUGUCCCAGGUGUGGAUGAUGUCCCAGCAGUGGAUGAUGCCCCAGGCAUGGAUGGUGUCCCAGCAGUGGAUGAUGUCCCAGCGGUGGAUGAUGUCCCAGCAGUGGAUGAUGCCCCAGGUAUGGAAGAUGCUCCAGGCAUAAAUGAUGCCCAUCUAUGGAUGAUGCCCCAGGCGUGGAUGAUGUACCAGCAGUCGAUGAUGUCCCAGCAGUGGAUGAUGCCCCAGGUGUGGAUGAUGCUCUGGUCGUGGAUGAUGCCACAGAAGAUGAUGCCACAGGGAUGGAUAAUGCCCCAGCAGUGGAUACCCCAAACGUGGAUGAUGUCCCAGCAGUGGAUGAUGGCCGAGGCAUCGAUGAUGCCCCAGGAGUGGAUGAAGCCCCAGCAAUGGAUGAUGCCUGAGGCGUAG